rnacentral:snoRNA from 1 species
CGUUAUGAUGAAUUUCCAGAUAGGGACAACUGAUGCUCCGGCACAUGAGGUCCACUGGGAGAGUAUUUUAGUAGAUGUCUCUCUUGCCUGAAU